rnacentral:snoRNA from 1 species
GUGACUGAUCCUGGUAUUGAUUGCCUUGUCAGUUGUACAGUGCAACUGUGCUGAGCCACUCACAUUGAAACAUGUGGUUCCUGCCGACAGAGUCUGUGUAGUGAUCAGAUUUUCUGUGUGAUGGUUCCACACAUA